AGGGUUCGAUUAUGGCUCAGGAUGAAUGCUGGCGGCGUGCUUAACACAUGCAAGUCGAACGAACCUUCGGGUUAGUGGCGGACGGGUGAGUAACGCGUGAGAAUCUGCCCUCAGGAGGGGGAUAACGGUUGGAAACGACCGCUAAUACCCCAUAUGCCUAUUGGUGAAAUGAAUUUCGCCUGAGGAUGAGCUCGCGUCUGAUUAGCUAGUUGGUGAGGUAAUGGCUCACCAAGGCUUCGAUCAGUAGCUGGUCUGAGAGGAUGAUCAGCCACACUGGGACUGAGACACGGCCCAGACUCCUACGGGAGGCAGCAGUGGGGAAUUUUCCGCAAUGGGCGAAAGCCUGACGGAGCAACGCCGCGUGAGGGACGAAGGCCUCUGGGCUGUAAACCUCUUUUCUCAAGGAAGAAGAUAUGACGGUACUUGAGGAAUAAGCCACGGCUAAUUCCGUGCCAGCAGCCGCGGUAAUAC
rnacentral:rRNA from 1 species